rnacentral:rRNA from 1 species
AGUGAACGCUGGCGGUAGGCCUAACACAUGCAAGUCGAACGGCAGCACAGUAAGAGCUUGCUCUUACGGGUGGCGAGUGGCGGACGGGUGAGGAAUACAUCGGAAUCUACUUUUUCGUGGGUGAUAACGUAGGGAAACUUACGCUAAUACCGCAUACGACCUACGGGUGAAAGCAGGGGAUCUUCGGACCUUGCGCGAUUGAAUGAGCCGAUGUCGGAUUAGCUAGUUGGCGGGGUAAAGGCCCACCAAGGCGACGAUCCGUAGCUGGUCUGAUAGGAUGAUCAGCCACACUGGAACUGAGACACGGUCCAGACUCCUACGGGAGGCAGCAGUGGGGAAUAUUGGACAAUGGGCGCAAGCCUGAUCCAGCCAUACCGCGUGGGUGAAGAAGGCCUUCGGGUUGUAAAGCCCUUUUGUUGGGAAAGAAAAGCAGCAGGUUAAUACCCCGCUGUUCUGACGGUACCCAAAGAAUAAGCACCGGCUAACUUCGUG